GAGGGUAUAAGUCAGUGGUAGAGUGUGUGCUUGGCAUGCACAGGGUCUUGGGUUCAAUUCCCAGUGCCUCUU
rnacentral:tRNA from 1 species